AUUUUUGCAUUAUAUACAAUAAAAUCUAUCAACACUUUAUCAAAUCAUUAGUAUUUAUUCUAUGUUAAUAAGCUAAAAGCAAAUUAAUUUGAAUAAACUUAAAACCAAUGAUCUUUUGAUAAAUAUUUUAAUUAUGUUAAUAGAUUACAAUGUCCUUAUAUGAAAAAAAUGCAUACUAUCACUAUAAUAUUAAUAAAAUUAAUACUACAGGUAUAAUAAUGAAUUUUUCAUAAUGGAUAUUCAGGUUCAUCGGGCUUAACCUCUAAGCAGUUUCACGUACUAUUUAACUCUCUAUUCAGAGUUCUUUUCAACUUUCCCUCACGGUACUUGUUUACUAUCGGUCUCAUGGUUAUAUUUAGUUUUAGAUGGAGUUUACCACCCACUUAGUGCUGCACUAUCAAGCAACACGACUCUUUGGAAAUAUCUUUCUAGUAAUCAUUAACGUUAUACGGGCCUGGCACCCUCUAUGGGUAAAUGGCCUCAUUUA